GCAAAUACUUGAAGUUGCAAUCGAAGGUCAAGAAAAUGGAAUCAAGAGGUCACAAUCCUUCUCUGAUGAUGGCUUAGAAAGCUGGAAGACACUCAACAUUGAAUCCUGGGGCUCUGUGCCAUGCUUGCUAGGAGAAACAGCCACCAUGAGUCCAUCUUUCAGAUCUCAAGUGAACAGGCCAAGAAACUGGGCACAGAGAUAUCCGUAACUCACCCAAGGUUAUGUUCUAAGAGGAGAAGCUAAUUCACACCUGCAGCGUGGCUCCAGAGACAUGCCCUUAUGCACCGCUCAGCUGCCUCCCUGCCUAUAGCAAAUGCACCUCUAGCUUCUCAGCUCCUGUUACUGGUGCAGUGGAAGUACCACAAACAGGAACGAGGCAUUCCACACAACAGAGUUUUGCUUUUGUUGCCCAGGCUGGACUGCAGUGGCGCAGUCUUGGCUCACUGCAACCUCUGCCUCCCAGUUCAAGCGAUUCUCCUGCCUCAGCGUCCCAAGUAGCUGGGAUUAUAGCCAUGUGCCACCACCACACCCGGCUCAUUUUUUGUAUUUAGUAGAAACGGGGUUUCACCAUGUCAGUCAGGCUAGUCUCGAACUCCUGACCUUAUGUGAUCUGCCUGCCUCGGCCUCCCAAAGUCCUGGGAUUACAGGCGUGAA
ensembl:lncRNA ITGA6-AS1 ITGA6 antisense RNA 1